GCUGGGUGCAGUGGUGUAUGCCUAUAAUCCCAGCAACUUUGGAGGCUGAGACAGGAGGAUCACAAGUUUGAGGCCAGCCUCAGCAAUUUAGUGAGACCCUGAGCAACUUAAUGAGACCCUGUCUCUA
rnacentral:sRNA from 1 species